UACAGAGGCCCCAAGCAUUACCCGGAAUCACUGGGCGUAAAGGAUGUGUAGGCGGUCGUAUUAGUCUUUCGUGAAAGUUCUCGGACUUAAUCCGGGAAACGCGGGGGAAACGGUACGACUUAGAGGUUGCGAGAGGUAAAGGGAACUCAUGGUGUAGGGGUGAAAUCCGUUGAUAUCAUGGGGAACACCAAAUGCGAAGGCACUUUACUGGCGCACACCUGACGCUGAAACAUGAAAGCGUGGGAAUCGAACGGG
rnacentral:rRNA from 1 species